rnacentral:rRNA from 1 species
UACGUAGGGUGCAAGCGUUGUUCGGAAUCAUUGGGCGUAAAGCGCGUGUAGGCUGUUAGGUAAGUCGAUUGUGAAAUCCCUGGGCUCAACCGAGGAAGUGCAGUCGAAACUACCUGGCUAGAAGACGGUAGAGGAAGGUGGAAUUCCUAGUGUAGAGGUGAAAUUCGUAGAUAUUAGGAGGAAUACCGGUGGCGAAGGCGGCCUUCUGGGCCGAUCUUGACGCUGAGACGCGAAAGCGUGGGUAGCAAACAGG